GACGAACGCUGGCGGCGUGCUUAACACAUGCAAGUCGAACGGAAAGGCCCUGCUUUUGUGGGGUGCUCGAUUGGCGAGCGGGUGAGUAACACGUGAGUAACCUGCCCUUGACUUUGUGAUAACUUCAGGAAACUGGGGCUAAUACCGGAUAGGAUCUCCUGCUGCAUGUGGGUGGUUGGUAAAUUUCGGCUGUUGUGGAUGGACUCGCGGCUUAUCAGCUUGUUGGUCUGGUAGGUGCUUACCAAGGCUUUGACGGGUAGCCGGCAUGAGAGGGGGACCGGCGACCUGGGUCCUACGGUACGGCGCAGUAUGGUAUGGGCGGCAGCAGUGGAGAAUCUUGCAGAAUGGGGGGGAGCCAGAUGUAGCAACCCUGGGUGCGGAAUGACCGGCUAUGGGUUGAAAACAGCUUUGGAAUGUAACGAAGAGUGAGUGACGGUACUGGAUAAAGAAGCCACGGCUAACUACGUG
rnacentral:rRNA from 1 species